rnacentral:rRNA from 2 species
CUGGGCGUAAGCGCACGCAGGCGGUCUGUCAAGUCGGAUGUGAAAUCCCCGGGCUCAACCUGGGAACUGCAUUCGAAACUGGCAGGCUAGAGUCUUGUAGAGGGGGGUAGAAUUCCAGGUGUAGCGGUGAAAUGCGUAGAGAUCUGGAGGAAUACCGGUGGCGAAGGCGGCCCCCUGGACAAAGACUGACGCUCAGGUGCGAAAGCGUGGGGAGCAAACAGGAUUAGAUACCCUGGUAGUCCACGCCGUAAACGAUGUCGACUUGGAGGUUGUGCCCUUGAGGCGUGGCUUCCGGAGCUAACGCGUUAAGUCGACCGCCUGGGGAGUACGGCCGCAAGGUUAAAACUCAAAUGAAUUGACGGGGGCCCGCACAAGCGGUGGAGCAUGUGGUUUAAUUCGAUGCAACGCGAAGAACCUUACCUACUCUUGACAUCCAGAGAACUUUCCAGAGAUGGAUUGGUGCCUUCGGGAACUCUGAGACAGGUGCUGCAUGGCUGUCGUCAGCUCGUGUUGUGAAAUGUUGGGUUAAGUCCCGCAACGAGCGCAACCCUUAUCCUUUGUUGCCAGCGGUUAGGCCGGGAACUCAAAGGAGACUGCCAGUGAUAAACUGGA